rnacentral:rRNA from 1 species
GACGAACGCUGGCGGCGUGCCUAAUACAUGCAAGUAGAACGCUGAAGGAGGAGCUUGCUUCUCGGGAUGAGUUGCGAACGGGUGAGUAACGCGUAGGUAACCUGCCUGGUAGCGGGGGAUAACUAUUGGAAACGAUAGCUAAUACCGCAUAAUAGUAGAUGUUGCAUGACAUUUGCUUAAAAGGUGCAAUUGCAUCAAUACCAGAUAGACCUGCGUUGUAUUAGGUAGGUGGUGGGGUAACGGCUCAACAAGGCGACGAUACAUAGCCGACCUCAGAUGGUGAUCGGCCACACUGGGACUUGGACAAGGCCCAGACUCCUACGGGAGGGAGCAGGAGGGAAUCUUCGGCAAUGGACGGAAGUCUGACCGAGCAACGCCGCGGGAGUGAAGAAGGUUUUCGGAUCGUAAAGCUCUGUUGUAAGAGAAGAACGAGUGUGAGAGUGGAAAGUUCACACUGUGACGGUAUCUUACCAGAAAGGGACGGCUAACUACGUG